CUCAAACUUGGCUGCACAUCAGGUUCACUUCAAAAGCUUCAGGAAAAGCUAGUGCCUUGGGCCCACCCCAGAGACAGGUAUAGCUCAAGAAACCCGGCAGGAGAGUCAAUCACUGCUCAAGGUCAUGACGGGAGUAAAUGGCAGAGCCAGCAAUGCACUACAGACUUUGCGACCGACCAAGUCCAGUUCCCCUCUCACUGCCCCACAGGGGUCCGUCCUAGGCCAGGCUCGGAGGAGACAAGAAGGGAGGAACCCAAUGUGUUCUUUCUUCCCGCGGUGAAAGCUGCCUCCCAGGCCAGCAAGAGCAGCCCAGAAGAAGUGCCCCACUCUCCCAGGGAUCAGCUGACUUCAAGUGGAUGGGAGGCUGCGCUUAUUAACAAAAUGAGAAAUCUGAUCUACGGAAAGAAAACACUACGUGAGGA
rnacentral:lncRNA from 1 species